AGACAGCAGAGUUCUGAGCUCCAGAGGUCAUUGCAUUGGAGUCACCACUAUUGAUUCUACCAUAUAGCUCCACUAAAACAUCGAUUAAGGGAAGAGUGUGAAUGCCGUCCCCCCACUGCCACAAGCGAUGCAGUCGAUUUUCCCAUAUUUGGGGAAUCUUGGGGGUCAGCACCUCCAGAAUGCAGUGGAUAGGUCUCACCCUGAGAAAGCCACAUUCAUGAUCAUGGUAUCUGCCCUGCUGGGUCUGUUCUUCUAGUCCUUCAGCCGUACAUCAUUAACAAUGGGAACAAGUAAUACUUACCUGGCAGGGGAGAUACCAUGAUCAA